CAGUCGCCGCGGUAAUACAGAGGGUGCGAGCGUUAAUCGGAUUUACUGGGCGUAAAGCGUGCGUAGGCGGCUUUUUAAGUCGGAUGUGAAAUCCCUGAGCUUAACUUAGGAAUUGCAUUCGAUACUGGGAAGCUAGAGUAUGGGAGAGGAUGGUAGAAUUCCAGGUGUAGCGGUGAAAUGCGUAGAGAUCUGGAGGAACACCGAUGGCGAAGGCAGCCAUCUGGCCUAAUACUGACGCUGAGGUACGAAAGCAUGGGGAGCAAACAGGAUUAGAUACCCCUGUAGUCCCUGUCUCUUAUAA
rnacentral:rRNA from 1 species